rnacentral:misc_RNA from 1 species
GAUGAAGAACGUAGCGAAAUGCGAUAAGUAAUGUGAAUUGCAGAGUUCAGUGAAUCAUCGAAUCUUUGAACGCACAUUGCGCCCGACAGCAUUCUGGCGGGCAUGCCUGUUCGAGCGUCAUUUCAACCCUCGACUUCCCUUUGGGGAAGUCGGCGUUGGGGACCGGCCGUAUACCGCCGGCCCCGAAAUGAAGUGGCGGCCCGUCCGCGGCGACCUCUGCGUAGUAAUCCAACUCGCACCGGAACCCCGACGUGGCCACGCCGUAAAACCCCCGACUUCUGAACGUUGACCUCGGAUCAGGUAGGAAUACCCGCUGAACUUAAGCAUAUCAAUAAGCGGAGGA